GUUCAUUGGGUUUGUUUACAAAAAUUCAAGCAUCCGGUUAAGAAGACGACAAAUAAGAAUGGUAUUAAGUUGGUAGAAUGGAACUCCUUCCUGAUUCCUGCACAUGUAAGUUACCAGAUACUCUUGAGGGACCAAUUUAAGGGCAAACAGACAAACGUUUUGAUGCAAAGAAAGCAUUGGAUUUGAAAGUUCCCAUGGAGAAGAAAAAUGGAGAGAUUCUAAAAGUAUGAAGAUCUAUACUCCUGUGUAUAAUGAGGAAAUCUUGUCAGUGAAUGUUGUUGCAAUUGUGGACCAGGCCAGAGUUGUACUAAACCAACUAAGACACAAUGAGAUACAGGAAUGACACAAUGAGAAACAGGAAACAGGAAAGUGAUGACUGAUCGCCACCUGUUACAAAUUCAUCUAGAAAACUCCCCACAUCCAACAAGAGACAGUCUGACUUCAAAAUCUUCAUUGAAGGCAACUUAAUGGACAAGACAUCCGUCACAUAAAGAUUCACUAAAAUUGGAAUGAUAUACCAAUUUUAACUUUUAACAGACAAAUACAUUAUAGAUUUGAAAAUAGAUUACCCUUAGAUAAGUUGGAUGAUUAACAUUUACCUCAACACAGUACAAAGUGCUCAUGUUGAACUAUUGUGAUUGAUCAUAGUCUGUCCUUCAUUUUUAUUAACAGUUUCAUACAGUGUUAACACUUUAGUAUGGGGACUCAUUUUUAGCUCAACUUUUCGAAGAAUAUGGAGAGCUAUACUACUCACCCAAGCGUUGGCGUCGGCGUCACCCCUUGGUUAAGGGUUUGCGUGCAAGCACACAUAGGUUAAUAUCUCAGCAACUACUUGAGGUAUUGCAUUGAGACUUUAUACAAUGGUACUCAACCAUCCAACCUACUUAAUUAACCAAGUUUGAUAACUCUACUUUGCAUUUAAUGCCAAUAAUAGGCCUUUAAUAUUUGACUUAGAAAUUCUGGUUAAGGUUUGCAUGCAAGCACACAUAGGUUAAUAUCUCAGCAACUACUUGAGGUAUUGCAUUGAGACUUGAUACAAUGGUACUCAACCAUCCAACCUACUUAUUUAAACAAGUAAGAUAACUCUAGUUUGCAUUUAAUGUAAAUAAUAGGCCUUUAUUAUUUGACUUAGAAAUUCUGGUUAAGGUUUUGCAUGCAAGCACACAUAGGUUAAUAUCUCAGCAACUGCUUGAGGUAUUGCAUUGAGACUUGAUACAAUGGUACUCAACCAUCCAACCUACUUAUUUAAACAAGUAAGAUAACUCUAGUUUGCAUUUAAUGUAAAUAAUAGGCCUUUAUUAUUUGACUUAGAAAUUCUGGUUAAGGUUUUGCAUGCAAGCACACAUAGGUUAAUAUCUCAGCAACUGCUUGAGGUAUUGCAUUGAGACUUGAUACAAUGGUACUCAACCAUCCAACCUACUUAAUUUUCCAAGUUAUAUAACUAUAGUUUGCAUUUAAUGCAAAUACUUGCGUUUAUUAUUUCACUCAGAAAUUCUGGUUAAGGUUUUGCAUGUAAGCACA